ACUCCUUUAGGUUGGUUUUGCAUUUGACUGAAAGUGGGGUACACUUUUACAUUUGACUUGAAUAUUUGGGUUGGUUUUAGCAAAUGUCCCAAAUAAAAAAGCUAAAUAAUAUACAAGGAAACCAAAGCCACCAACACAUCAAUACUAUUAAAACAGAAGGUCUUUUUUCGAGGUGCCCAUUUGUUUUAACAAUAUUUACAGAGAUGUGCCACUGGUUUUAUUUUAAAACAAUGUUUUUAUUUAUUUUAUAUUCAACACUAUUCUUUUAAUGCAACACUUAUUAAUUUUUAUUUUUUUAAAAUGUCUUUUCCUUUUUGCUGUAACUAAACACGUGUAUGCAAUCUAGAACAUUGAUGGAACAUUGUGUAUGCAUCUUAAACCAUCGGGACAAUUUCUUGAAUUUACCAUUUUUUUAUGAAACUUAUAUCAUCAUGUUCCAUCAACACUCAUGUUUAAACAUUUAAGUUUUUAGGUACAAUCGAUGUUGCGUUUUUCAUUCGUCAAGCUUCGACAUUUGAAGUAUACAUUCUUAAAUGUGAAACUAUACAUUCAGUUCAUUUUUAUUAAAGUAUCAUUUAGUUAAAAUCGAUUGCAAGCUUAUCAACACACAUGCUGCUCUAUUCAAAAUUAUACAUAAUGUGAUCACAAAAAAAUGUUCAGUCAUUUUAUAUAUACCGAAGCUAUUAAGUUUAAGAUGUGUGGAGACGAACCAAAUACAAAUAUGUUUAAUUUAUUCAUUUUUUUUUAAAUCAACACAGCAGCCUAACUAUAUGGAUAAUCACUAAACAAAAAAUAUCGGCAAACUGUGCAAUAUACUCGGCCAACGUAUUCAAUUUGCAGAUCUUUUGCAAAUCACAAACCGAAAAAUUACUAUAAAAUAAAAGGCUAAUAUUUAGGAAACUAUUCUAUAAUUUCUAAAGUCACGUACAUUUAGUAUAAGAAACGAAAAUUUUGCAAUUUUAUACUUAACAAUAACGAAUAAUCUAAAUCAUAAAUACCCAGCCAAUCAUAUGUAUUCCAUAUCUUCAACGUAACAAAAACAUAAAAUCAAAACAAAGAAGCGUGAAUUUGGUAACUGAAAUAUCAAUAAUAAUAUACCAGAAAAUCUAAAGUUACCUAACUUGAAUAAACUUGAUUGUCAAGAUAAUAGUUUUCCUAAACUCACGGCCUCUAUUUUAAUAAAUCAACUGAAUGAGAAUAUUCUAAACCUGAUGCUUUUAUUUUCUUAUAUAUAUUGACGAUCUACACUCAAACCAGACAUGCCAUCUAACUCAAAGCUUCUUUUCUAAUAUAAUGUCUUCUAAAACAACUUGGUUUAUUGAAUCCAAAGUCAUACACACCUGAAAACCACCAAAUGUAGGUUUUGGUGAGGCUUUAGAGAUCAUAUUUGCAGACAAAAAGGGGAUAAAAAAUUCAUACUACUUGUCUGAAGAACUAUUUGAAAUCUUUGGGGGAUCAACGUAUUGUUGGCGAAUGGAAAGACUAUUGAAAACUUCUAAGUUAGUGAACCUGGAAAAAAAUUCUUACCAACAAAACUCAUGUACAUGAUAAUUUUUAGUUUUAUAUGCAGGAGUUUGAAUCUAUUCCAACUGAUACAAUUUGGUUACUGGAAGUGGCUGGUGAUUUGGAAAAUAGUCAUGACACAAGACGACUUAAAAAUAAAAAUAGGUCCCAUGAGGGAUUGUUUGUGAUUUUUGUUGGAUUUAAAAAUACAUCAUUGGCUUUUAAAUACGGGAUCCAAACUGGUGUAUUCUGGUAUACAUCCUUCGAGUGUUUCAAGAUGCUUUAGCUGGACUACUGGGCUUCAUAUGUUUAGGGAAUUUUGAGGUUUAGACACUGACUUAUAAUUGGAUAGAGAAAGUAUGUAUCUAUAAGGGUAUCUCCUAUUUAGCUUCCGUUGCUUUGUAUGCAGUUUCCAUUAUGUUAAGGACAAGAUGUAUGGUAUUUUGAAUAUAAUUAAUAUUUUU